CUGAGUUUCCUGAACAGGCAUGAACACACCCUCAAGUGCACGCACACAAAUUCACACAGAUGCGAGUUAGGUCAGCUGAGCUAUUUUUGGAUCUAGCGGUUAAUCACUCUGCUGCAGCGUGCCUCUAUAAAGGCUGGAUACACACUCUAGUCCACUCAGACUCAACUGCAAAGACUGGACAUCACUUCUAUUUCUCUCUGCAUGUCAAACCUACAACCCAAGCAUCAAAGCAUGAAACGCAGACAGUUGUUGCUGUCUCUGCCUCACUUGCCAACCAUUACCGAGACACUUGAGGACUUGCCUGUCAACCCUUCAUCCUCCCAGUCCACCCAGAGCUCCCAGUCUCUAGAGGACUACAUGACCAGCAUCCAGGCUCUUGCCCGACCUGUUGAGGCCCCAAGCUACGGCCCUGUCAGACUCCAGAGGUCCCCCAGGCUGCGGCAGUUCUCAAAGGCUCAGAUGAAGCUCUCCGUUUCUGCCUCAGCACCUCGCGGGUCUCCGCGCACACUAAGGACUUCCAGACCUUCCAGUCUGAAUCUAAACAGCAGCACAGAGGAUUUUUCCCUCAGGAUGAGCAGAGAACGUGACUGCAAGGGAAAGGACCCAGUAGACUGGCUGUUUGGACAGAUAAGGACUUGAAGAGAGGUUUGGUUGUUGUUGUGGGAAACCCUGGAGGUACUUUGGAGUAUCCAAACAAGGAGCCACAGGAGGAAGUGAACUGCUGGUAUUUGCUCAGUGAUAAAAUCUCUAUGUGACCCAUGAGCAAAAAGAAGACUUAUUUAUUUUCCUGCACUUCUACACGUUUACAUAAAGGAAUAUUUUGUUAAGAUGUAAAGGCUAUAGUUUGUAAUAAAAUACUAAAAUAAUGAACAGAA